rnacentral:lncRNA from 1 species
AGGGCAUCAGUGAUACUUGCCACUCCCUGAUCAGCAAGUCCAAGUAGCAUGACGUCAUCAAUAGGUGGGUCAUAGUGAUGUUCUGUGUCAUGUCAGGAUGAGCAAGGUCCUUGCAGACAUGUAGACAGUGAAUGUAUACUGCUGUUCUUCACAUAUGAAGGCAACCACUAUAGAUUUUCCUUGUUGAUGGGGAUUGAGAAGAAAGCAUUUGCCAGAAUGGGAAGCUUUCCUUUCCACAGGAGAAUCUAAAUAGCUCUCUAAACAGACACCAGCUGGGCAAACAGUGCAGCGAAUUUCGGCGCAAUGUGAUGAGAGCCACCACACCCACAGCCCAGGCCAAGCAGCCUCUCAGCACAGCAGCCAAAUUACAAAGAGCUGCGGAACGGCUCCUUUUGAUCUAACAGCGGGGUGCUUCCAUUUCUUCAGGGAAUGUUCCAUGCAGUCCUGUGGUUAGUCACAAAGCCUGAAGAUGAUAAACGUACUACAGCAUCGGCCAGUGUUUCCCUUCCAGGACCAGAAGUGGACGGAGCCUGAGCAAGCAGAAAAUAAUAAUACAGCUGGCAGCCUGGCAAGGGGCCAUAAUGAAACGCCUCCGAGUAGUCCUUAUUUCUGGAGCAGCCCUCCCUUCCCACCCCGCCUCACUUGCUGUGCUGGUCUGGGCACAGGGAUAGGGCCUUCCAUGUCCCUGUCCAAGGGAAGCCAGGGUAGUUUGCGAUCUUAAACACAGGGAAACACGGAAGUCAGCCUGCUCUGCCUCUGGCUCCCAAGGGGAAUUCCCAGCAGCUGUUUAAUAGAGUGCAUGCCCACCCAACAUUAUAUAAUUGUUCGAGGCGGGAUGAGAUGAGGUGAGAAAAAAUAAAAGAAUGAAUGACUCCUGUGAGAUUGCAGACAGUUGAGUAACCAGGUGGCAUGCUUCCCUUAAGGAAUGUUCUAGUGUGAUUGGGGAGUAAGUGUGAGAAGUGUUGUAGCAUCCUUGUGUUUUAGGGGAAUGAGGACUAGCCAGGGGCUUCUGCUAAGUAGGCAGUUUCCUUUGGGCUGGAGCUGGGACAAGUAUUUCCAGCUCAAAGCACCAGGGGACACUGUGGCAGAAGGAAGGGACAGAAGAG